GACGAACGCUGGCGGCGUGCUUAACACAUGCAAGUCGAACGGAAAGGCCCUGCUUUUGUGGGGUGCUCGAGUGGCGAACGGGUGAGUAACACGUGAGUAACCUGCCCUUGACUUUGGGAUAACUUCAGGAAACUGGGGCUAAUACCGGAUAGGAGCUCCUGCUGCAUGGUGGGGGUUGGAAAGUUUCGGCGGUUGGGGAUGGACUCGCGGCUUAUCAGCUUGUUGGUGGGGUAGUGGCUUACCAAGGCUUUGACGGGUAGCCGGCCUGAGAGGGUGACCGGCCACAUUGGGACUGAGAUACGGCCCAGACUCCUACGGGAGGCAGCAGGGGGGAAUAUUGCACAAGGGGCGGAAGCCUGAUGCAGCAACGCCGCGUGCGGGAGGACGGCCUUCGGGUUGUAAACCGCUUUCGCCUGUGACGAAGCGUGAGUGACGGUAAUGGGUAAAGAAGCACCGGCUAACUACGU
rnacentral:rRNA from 1 species